rnacentral:rRNA from 1 species
UACGUAGGGUCCGAGCGUUGUCCGGAAUUACUGGGCGUAAAGAGCUCGUAGGUGGUUUGUCGCGUUGUUCGUGAAAACUCACAGCUUAACUGUGGGCGUGCGGGCGAUACGGGCAGACUUGAGUACUGCAGGGGAGACUGGAAUUCCUGGUGUAGCGGUGGACUGCGCAGAUAUCAGGAGGAACACCGGUGGCGAAGGCGGGUCUCUGGGCAGUAACUGACGCUGAGGAGCGAAAGCGUGGGGAGCGAACAGG